UAUGUCUGCAAAGGCUGGUUCCAUGUCACAUUGCUUAUUCGAGACUAGAUCUACAAAUAACACUGCAGAUUUUGUUACCAUCAACUUGCAUUAUACAACUGACAGACUGAAACGGUUGGACUCAAAAAUCUACAUUUGUGUUCCACUGGAGAAACAAAGUCACCUACAUCUUGGAUGGCCUGGGGACUACCUGACCUGUUCCUGUUAAGAGCUAGUCACUCUUUGUGGAAUGUUCCUGGCCCAUUUUUCCCAAGUUUUUACAAAAGUUUUUUCAAUGACCUCAAAAUUGAUGUGUAAAAAUUAUAAUAAACUUGAAUUUGUUUAAAUAUG